UACAUAGGGGGCGAGCGUUGUCCGGAAUGACUGGGCGUAAAGGGAGUGUAGGUGGCUUUGUAAGUUAUGAGUGAAAGCCCGCAGCUUAACUGCGGAAUUGCUCAUAAAACUGCAAGGCUGGAGUGCAGGAGAGGUAAGUGGAAUUCCUAGUGUAGCGGUGGAAUGCGUAGAUAUUAGGAGGAACACCAGUGGCGAAGGCGACUUACUGGACUGUAACUGACGCUGAGGCUCGAAAGCGUGGGGAGCAAACAGG
rnacentral:rRNA from 1 species